ACUACAGUCUCUUUCAUACUAUUUUCAUUGUUCUCUCCCUCCCUCUAUCUCCCCCCCCCCCCCUCUCUCUCUCUCUCCCCCCCCCUCUCUCUCUCUCUACAGAGUGUCCGUCCUGACUGUAACAGUGACACGUACACAGCUCUGAACAUGAGGACCAUGUCCUCUGACUAUGACACUUUGGCAAGUGUCCAUGCUGACCCUACCAGGGACCCCAACAGUGACACAUACACAGCUCUGAACAUGAAGACCAGGUCACCAGAGUAUGACACCCUGGCAAAUGUGAGACUCUCCCAGUGACACAUCCCCUCAGAUAGAUGCUGAGCCCUCCGAUUAU
rnacentral:lncRNA from 1 species